GUGGUACACCACGGGUCCAUCAUUUAACGUGUCUUUCUUAUAUAAAAUUUCAAUCGGUUAAAAUUUGAUAUGUUCUUAUUAGAGUUGGUCAAGCUUAUUAUUUGAGGUCCAACAAAAACAAUGUAUCGUUUGCGAUAUAUAUACUUUCGAUUUUAGAUUUCUAUAUGAUAAUUUACCCCGUGAUACACCACGAGACGGU
rnacentral:lncRNA from 1 species